CGCGCCCGGCGGGGGCGGGGGCGAGGGAAAGGCUCCGGUGGGCAGCCGGGAUCCUGGCGCACGUGUGCGGACUGACCCUGCGUAUAAACAGACCAAAGAUUAUGAAAAGCUGAAAACAUUCUUGUUCAUUCAACCCAAGCAAAGAAGCCAAGAAAAUCUCAGAGAGAUUCAACUAUGACUACAGAAGAAUAGGCCAUUUCACAGUUUGUCAAAUGAAGUACAGCUCCAACUUUGCCAGACUGCCAUCUAUCAAGAAUCGGAAGCUGAAAGUAUGCUUCUAAGACAAGGACAUGUACCACUUGAAUGUUACUUGAUUCUUGCUGGACAUUUAAAGGUCAUGUCAAAUAAGCAUGAACAAAAAUACCAACCCUGAAAUUUGAAGUGAGUUUAAAGAAGGUGACUUCAUACCGGGCAAAUUGGAUUUGGAAAUCUUGGAAUCCAAAAGUCCUUAAAGGUCUUGGGAGGAUUUUUACUGUAUUGUUGCACUGAGAGUCCAAGAACAAUAUCAAGAAACAUGCAGCUUUCUAAGGUGGUGCUCUGAAAUACCAAAUAAACAUCAGUCCUGAAUUUAAAAAUGACAUUGCCUGGACGAGAUUAUCAGAACUGGAGCGUACACAGGCCUGACUACUCUUUAUUUGAAAAGUUUCUUAGGGCUGAAGCUGGUCUCCUGUUAGAGCCACGUGUCCCCACUGUGUGUCUGUGGGAUGCUGAAAAGAGUUCCCUGGAGGAAUGAAUGUUUUCUGCGUUCAGCCUGGGCUCACCAAGCACACGCUGGCUCCAUUCUCCAAGUUUUGGUCCCUGUUUUUGAUACACCUCCAUCCUCUGGGUUCCCUCAGAAGCUGAGGUCUGGCUUGUUUACCCAGAACCCUGCUUUUCUCUUGGCUAUCUUCAAACACCAUUCCCAGAUAGGUCUGCCUCUAUUCCUUUUCCCAUAGCCACUGGAAGUGAAUUUAGACUCUUGAAAAAAACUCUCUAAUUUAUGACACAACAUAAAGGGGAAAAAAUAAAGGACACAAGGAGAAACAUGCAUUGGAGGCACUGUUCUCAAAGAUUUGGCAUUAAAUCAUCAUAUGACAAAUGACAGAACAAAUACAGCAACAAUAUCUUUGGAGUCAGCCUGUCCUGAGUUCAAAUUCUGACUACCCCACAUUAUGGUUAUGGCAAAACUAGAUAGCUUCUUUGAACCUUAGUUCUUGCUUCUGUGUUAUGGGGAUGAUAAUUCCUACUUUGCAUGGUUGUUGUGGGGAUUAAAAGCAACUUGGUUAGGAGUUUACCCAUCAAUUUCAGUGCCCUCUCCAUUCCCUUCCUUACCUUACCUUACCUGUGCUCCAACUCAAAAUGUGUACUCUAUUGCUAGUAACAGAGGCACUGCUGUGCUCCCCUGUGCUCACUCCUGCCUUGAUGAUCUCUACUCCCACACUUUCCUGAUGCUGACCACUGCCUGGAUCUCUGCCAUCUUGCGGCUUCCAGUUCCUCAUUGCCUCGUGCUCUGGGGUGCUUGGACAGCCACCUGACGACGUGGUUUUCUGUGCCUCUCUGUAGCCAGUUGCCUGCCUGCUUUCUGCAGUGGCUAAUAUCCCUAACAGUAUGCUCUCUGGGUACAUCCUCCACUCCCUUUCCCCAGUGAGAUCCCCAUUCCUGCUGUUAGGUUAACUCCCUAAGUAGUUACCCUACUGUGAAGACCUCCUCUACAUCACUGGGCCCGAUGCUUUAGGAAAAGAGCUGUCCAGCUGCGCUGUGCAAAGCCUGUCUUUGCCUCCUGGGCAUGUGCAGAAAGGUGGUGAUUUCUAAAUUAGACUUGAGAGGUGGUCUGUCUGUCCUGACAGAGAAGGCUGGCCUUUGCUGUUACAGCUUGACUAGCCGUGAAGCGGCUCCUGGGCGGGUUGCAACCCGUCAUAAAACCCUGGUCCUUUCAGGGCAAGAGUCCACCUCAGGGAGCCCCAGACAGCAUUGCCAAGGUUGUAAAAGGAAGUGAGAAGGGUGAGGUGAGGUGAUCAAGAGAAGACAGAGUAAAGAACUCAGAAGUUGUGUGUCUUGAGAGCAGGUGGUUCAGACCCAAGGCCAAAUACACUGACUGAGUCACAGGAGCCCGUGGAACUAGGAAGCUGCUGUUACUAUAUUGGUUUAGCAGAACAUUCCGAUUUUCAUGUAUUUAAAAACCAAUUCAGUAGUUCUAUCAUUUUCUACUAUACUUCCAAACCUGUUUUUAUGCUA